rnacentral:rRNA from 1 species
GACGUAGGGCGCAAGCGUUGUCCGGAUUUAUUGGGCGUAAAGAGCUCGUAGGCGGCUUGUCGCGUCGACCGUGAAAACCCGCAGCUCAACUGCGGGCUUGCGGUCGAUACGGGCAGGCUCGAGUUCGGUAGGGGAGACUGGAAUUCCUGGUGUGGCGGUGAAAUGCGCAGAUAUCAGGAGGAACACCGGUGGCGAAGGCGGGUCUCUGGGCCGAUACUGACGCUGAGGAGCGAAAGCGUGGGGAGCGAACAGG